rnacentral:lncRNA from 1 species
GGCGCGGCCCAAGACGACGCCAAGGGAGCGGACGGGCGGGGAGGAGGUGGCCUCUGCGCAGGCGCAGAGAGGAGCGAGCGACUCCUGCGCAAGCGCAGAGUGAAGGGCCGGGAACAGUGGAGGGUGCGAGGAAGACAAUGGGGGAGGACCCUGAGGCGGCCUCUGUGAGCCGACAGGAACACGUGGUCGAUCAGAGAGAGACUCGAGGUUCGUGAACGGAUGGGGAGGACCCUGAAAAGCACUGUGGAAUACAGGUUUCUAGUAACUUCAAAAUCACAUCAUUUGGACUGGGUAAAGAGCUUUUUAUGGUUCACUGAGGACAAUCAACCCCUUCACAAUCUAGAACCCAAAGAUGGGAUCUUCUGAGAACAUCAGAGAAACGCUGCCCUUGGCAUCAUCACUGCAACAAAACAUCAGGAUCUUGAACCUUGGGGUCAUAAUCUCACAACUGAGCAGGGUCACUCUUGGAACUCUACAUCCAUUGAAACCCUUAAGGUAAAGCUAAUCAGGGAAGUUUCUCCCCAGAAGAAGAUGGCAUCCUUGAUGUGAGCAGCUCUUUCUGAAGAUCAUGGAUCAAGACUUCUUACUAUCAUGAGACUCUUAUCUUUGAAUGUUUUUCCGUUGCUUCCGCCUCUGUGAACAACAGAAGUGAGAAGGGGGUCUGUUUUGU